CCUACGGGAGGCAGCAGUCGAGAAUCAUUCACAAUGGGGGAAACCCUGAUGGUGCGACGCCGCGUGGGGGAAUGAAGGUCUUCGGAUUGUAAACCCCUGUCAUGUGGGAGCAAAUUAAAAAGAUAGUACCACACGAGGAAGAGACGGCUAACUCUGUGCCAGCAGCCGCGGUAAUACAGAGGUCUCAAGCGUUGUUCGGAAUCACUGGGCGUAAAGCGUGCGUAGGCUGUUUCGUAAGUCGUGUGUGAAAGGCGCGGGCUCAACCCGCGGACGGCACAUGAUACUGCGAGACUAGAGUAAUGGAGGGGGAACCGGAAGUCUCGGUGUAGCAGUGAAAUGCGUAGAUAUCGAGAGGAACACUCGUGGCGAAGGCGGGUUCCUGGACAUUAACUGACGCUGAGGCACGAAGGCCAGGGGAGCGAAAGGGAUUAGAUACCCCAGUAGUC
rnacentral:rRNA from 1 species